AUGCCUCAUGCUUCUUUAGAGGACCCUAAGUCUAUUGGUUCCACAAUAGAAGUGAUCGAUACAGAGAAUCGACGCCAUCUCACACAUGUAAAUGUUCAUCUGGACCAACUCGACGAGAUGAUGAUGCCUAAGGCGAUAGACUAUCUUCAUCUUAAUGCCGAGGCUAUGUCGUACCAGGUAUGCUGGAGGUCUAACCAUGGCAGUGCUCACCUAUGCGUGGAGAAGACAAGUGCGGAAAGUAAGCUUGGAGCACGCAGAGCCACACGACAAGGUAGAAACAUUAGGAGUGCCAAGGGGUUUCCUCUAGUGCAGCAGGAUCAGCGGAUACAAAUGCUGAAUCAGGUAGCUCGUUCAUUCCUAAAACUAUGGGUUGUACGAUCCUCCGAGAGGUUGCAUAGCUCGUUUACUACGUGGCUCAAUCAGUAG
rnacentral:rRNA from 1 species